UGGGGAAUAUUGCACAAUGGGCGCAAGCCUGAUGCAGCAACGCCGCGUGAACGAUGAAGGUCUUCGGAUCGUAAAGUUCUGUUGCAGGGGAAGAUAAUGACGGUACCCUGUGAGGAAGCCCCGGCUAACUACGUGCCAGCAGCCGCGGUAAUACGUAGGGGGCUAGCGUUAUCCGGAUUUACUGGGCGUAAAGGGUGCGUAGGUGGUCCUUCAAGUCGGUGGUUAAAGGCUACGGCUCAACCGUAGUAAGCCGCCGAAACUGGAGGACUUGAGUGCAGGAGAGGAAAGUGGAAUUCCUAGUGUAGCGGUGAAAUGCGUAGAUAUUAGGAGGAAUACCGGUGGCGAAGGCGACUUUCUGGACUUUUACUGACGCUCAGGUACGAAAGCGUGGGGAGCAAACAGG
rnacentral:rRNA from 1 species